rnacentral:lncRNA from 1 species
AGAAAAGUUUGGGGCAGAUUGCUUUUAACAAUCUGACCUUCCUCAUGAGUAAAUGUGUUAGACUACGACUGGCCAAGUCAGAGUACCAGAGAGGGUCAACACUGGGGAAUCAAUACCAGUGAUUACCAAGCUACCAGGGAGGAUUUUAAAAAAACAACACCAUCUGUCCCUGCACCUUCAAAAUUCUGAUGUAUUACCUCCAAGCUUUAUGAAGAGGAUCCCUUUUCACGAUGGUCACAGAAGCAUUCUAGCUCUCAAGUGGUAACACUGCCCA